CUCUGAUCGGCUUCUCAGUUUGCGUUCCGACGUCCCAGCACCAACUUGAUCUUCAGUUGAGUCCGCAGUUGUCCGCGAGAAUCAUCACACACAUUUUCAGCCAUGGCCGGAGAUCUUAGUGCACGAGACAUUGAACGGGCGGAAUUCGCCUUCUCAAUUUUCGAUAUGGAUGGUGAGGACUCCAUUGAUGCCAACUCUAUUGGUGAUGUCUUGCGCGCCCUGAACCUCAACCCAACCCUGGCCACCAUCGAGAAGAUGGGCGGCACGAAGAAGAGGGGCGAGAAGAAACUCAAAAUUGAAGAAUUCCUCCCAAUCUACGCACAGGUCAAGAAAGAAAAAGACCAGGGAUGCUAUGAAGAUUUCCUCGAGUGUCUGAAACUGUACGACAAAAAUGAGAACGGUCUUAUGCUCCUAGCUGAAUUGAACCACAAUCUUUUGGCCCUGGGUGAGAAACUCAAUGAUGAUGAAGUCGCGGAAGUAUUCAAGGACUGCUUGGACCCUGAGGACGAUGAAGGCCAAAUCCCCUAUGCCCCAUUCCUUAAGAAACUGAUGGCUUAAGAAAUGGGUGUCCCACCAGAAGAUACAACAAAGUCAAAACACAUUUUUACAAAUUUCAUCUGCAGGAACCUUUCUCAAUAGAAUUCCAUUCCUCCGAAAAAUGUGCGAUGGUUGGGGAGCGAAAAAGGAAGAGGGUGGAGAAUAAAAAGUGCCUAUCAGGAGAAUGACAUGAAAUCAAAUCAAUUUGUAAAGAUAUGAAAAGAGAAAAAAAAGAAAAAAAUAAAUUUCAAAAUCGUGACGCAGACCAUCAUCAAUUCAGCAAUAAAUCAAUUCUUUUGAAAAAGUACAUCUAAAAGAUCAAUUUUAUAACAUCAAAAAUGACAUCAAAUGUUAUGUGUAACAUCGGAGCAUAAUUAAUUUAAAUAAAAUAUUUUAUUAUACAAAAAAUCCA